AAAUUUAGUUUAGAUUUUUGAGGGGUUAUUACUCUUUUUAAAAUUUUAUAUUUUAAGGGAUAAGCUUUAAAAUUAAUUUAAAAGAAAAGUAGUUUUUGAACUUUUAGUAGGCUUGGAAUUAGCCAUGAAAUAGUGUUAUAAGAUAAAAGAAUUGGUUUAAGAUUUUGUUUUCUUUUUUGAGUAUAAAGUUAAUUAAUAAACUAUUUUAAUAUUGUAAAUAUGAUAGUAUGAGUAGAAGAAAAGAUAAAAGGUUUUUUGUAUUGAUUGGUUUAAAAUUUAUAAUAAAAGAACUCGGCAAAUAAGAUUUCCGAAUGUUUAACAAAAACAUUUCCUCUUGAGUAUGGGAGGUAAGACCUGCUCACUGAAAAAUUUAAAGAGCCGCAGUAUUUUAACUGUGCUAAGGUAGCAUAAUCAUUAGUCUUUUAAUUGGAGACUGGUAUGAAUGGUUAAACGAGAAAUCCGCUUUUUUUAUUAUAAGAUUCGAAUUUAAUUUUUUAGUGAAAAAGCUAGAAUUUUUCAGAAAGACGAGAAGACCCUAUAGAGUUUUAUAUUUUUUUAAAUUUUUUUUAAUUAGGUUUUAUAAGUAGAUAUUUAGAAAGGUAUUUUGUUGGGGCGACAUUUAGAUAAAAAAAACUCUUAAUUUUUAAAACUUUUAUAAAAGAAUAAUUUGAUCCUUUAAAAAAGAUUAAAAGAAAAAAUUACCUUAGGGAUAACAGCGUAAUCUUUUUUGAGAGUUCUUAUCGACAAAAAGGUUUGCGACCU
rnacentral:rRNA from 1 species